AACUUUCGGCAAUGGCUCACUUGGCUCUCGCAUCGAUGAAGAACGCAGCGAAAUGCGAUAAGUAAUGUGAAUUGCAGAUUUUCAGUGAAUCAUCGAAUCUUUGAAAGCACCUUGCGCUCACUGGUAUUCCGGGGAGCACGCCUGUUAGAGUGUCGCGAAAUUUCUCAAGCUUGGAUGACAAUUUUUGUCUGACCUUAGUCUGGUUGUUGGACUUUGCCGUGUUCUUCAUUGGGACGGCUGGCCUUAAAAGCAUUAGCUGAUCCUCGUGUGGAACUGGUUCUACUCAGCGUGAUAAAGUCUGAUCGCUGAGGACAUCUUUCGGGAUGGCCAGUCCCCAUUUGGAUUGCUUCUAAACCUUGGUUUUGCAGAUUGUUUGAUCUGUAUUCCAAUCUUCAGCUUUGACCUCGAAUCAGGUGGGACUACCCGCUGAACUUAAGCAUAUCAAUAAGCGGAGGAU
rnacentral:misc_RNA from 1 species